UGUUUAUCAAAAACAUCGCCUCUUGUCCCUCAGAAUAUAAGAGGUCCCSCCUGCCCUGUGACUAUAUGUUUAACGGCCGCGGUAUCUUAACCGUGCGAAGGUAGCGUAAUCACUUGUCUUUUAAAUAAGACCUGUAUGAAUGGCAUCACGAGGGCUUAACUGUCUCCCCUCUCCAGUCAAUGAAAUUGACCUCCCCGUGCAGAGGCGGGGAUAUUUCUAUAAGACGAGAAGACCCUGUGGAGCUUUAGACCUAAAAUAAACCACGUUUAAUAUACUAAAAUUAAUAGCAAAAACUUAGUGGACAUUUAUUUAAGUGUCUUUGGUUGGGGCGACCGCGGAGUAAAACACAACCUCCAUGUGGACGGGGAUACUAUCCCUAAAACUCAGAGCCUCCACUCCAAGCAACAGAAAUUCUGACCUCACUGAUCCGGUACAGCCGAUUAACGAACCCAGUUACCCCAGGGAUAACAGCGCAAUCCCCUCUCAGAGCUCAUAUCGACGAGGGGGUUUACGACCUCGAUGUUGGAUCAGGACAUCCUAGUGGUGCASCCGCUAUUGAGGGUUCGUUUGUUCAACGAUUAAAGUCCUACGUGAUCUGAG
rnacentral:rRNA from 1 species